rnacentral:rRNA from 1 species
UACAGAGAGUGCAAGCGUUAAUCGGAAUUAUUGGGCGUAAAGAGUGUGUAGGUGGUUAAAUAAGUUAAAUAUGAAAUCCCUGAGCUUAACUCAGGAAGUGUAUUUAAAACUGUUUGACUAGAGUUUUGUAGAGGAAAGUGGAAUUUUCGGUGUAGCGGUGAAAUGCAUAGAUAUCGAAAGGAACACCAGUGGCGAAGGCGACUUUCUGGACAAAUACUGACACUGAGACACGAAAGCGUGGGGAGCAAACAGG